GCACUCAAGACAGUAGCAGUUUCAUCUUCAUGCUGAGUUCUUAUAUUCUCAAUCAUUGCCUACAAUACGCAUAUUUAAUAUUCAAUAUUAUAAAAAUAAUAUUAUAAACAUAUUUUCAUUUGAAAGUAGAAGAGGAAUUGCAUGAAGGAUUCAACAAAAUUGGAGAAAAAUGAUGAAAGUAACAAGAAAAAAGAACCUAGACUAUGCAUAUUGCUAUAAUGUUAAAUUUUUCACUGAAAUCAAUAUUCAAUAGUAACAUGUUCAAAACAUAACCAAAUCCCAAUCUUAAUUGCAAUUCAUCACAAUAAUUUUAGUUACUCCAUCUAAUUCAUUCUUCGACAUGCAAAUUUUUUAAAAUAUUACAAACUAUUUUCGAUUCCUAAACUAACUUGCUAUAAACUAACCUUUAUAGCAUUCCCAACACAACUUCCAAUUUCAAAUGACAAUCCUCGUACAACCUCUGCACCACCUCAACCAAACACAGAAAAACGCAAUAAUUAAAAAUCAUGAAACCAAAAUCAAUUAACCUAUUAAUUAACCUUAGAGGUUAAGCUGCAAAGCAUCGAAGCCAAUACAAAAAUUCAACAUCAUCCUCCCAAUUUUGAAGACUGGAACCGAUUACGUAGCCUCACUAGCUCACUCACUACAAAAACAAAUAAAUCUGUGCAACAACAGAUGGGGACAGAAAGAAAUCGAGGUUUUAACAACUGCUUGAUUAGAUAAUCACAGUAGGAACAAAUGGUUUGGCCAAAAACGAAGAAAAAGGUGUAGGGCUUGCUCUGAAAAAAUAGGAGAAAAAGGGAGAAGAUUCUAACUCGCGCCAAAAAACGAAAAAAGAGGAGAAGAAUUUAGCUUGCAUAUGAAGAAGAGGAUCUAGGGUUUGCUCUAAAAAAAGAGGGGAAAAAAGGGAAGAUUUAACCUUGCGAGUUUGGUUUGAGAAGAAAAGAUGAAAACUGGAAAAGAUUUGAACUCGUAGGUGCUUUGAAGAAAGAGGUGAAGGAUUUAAUCUUUCGGGAAAAAAUGAAAAUAAUUAACGGUUGGCUAAACUCUCCAGAAUACACUCAAAAAAGCCUAGUAAUA
rnacentral:lncRNA from 1 species